rnacentral:lncRNA from 1 species
UCAACAGAACUGAAGUGAAGCCUUGUGAUUGACAGGAGGGAAGCAGUAGAUCCUACAAGACCCCUGAGAAGAGUGAAAGGAUGGGUGUGGUGUGGUAGCAUAGAGAACCCAGCAGAGCCUGUUUGUGCAGACUUCUUGGCCUCUCUGUAGCUUCCUCCCCUCCUGGGUACCUGAUAGGACCAUCUGAGAUAAGAGUCUUCAGAAAGAGGAAAGAACGCCUCUGUUGGUUCUGUGGUGUGCUCUGGGUGAGUGGGUUUCUAGUCUCUGUGACUUGCCCCAGGAUGAGAUGGUAGGAAAAGGCUAGAGAGGUCUUGCUUUUGAGGCUUCCAGGGUCCUUCAGUUCAAAUUACACAGUGUGCCAGGGUGCCCGACUUUGAGGUACUUUGUUCUGAGCCCUAAUCCUCCUUUUAUAAGGAAACUGUUCCUUUUGGAUUAGGGUCCACCUAAUGACCUUACUUUGCCAUAAUUAACCCUUAAAGGCCCUAUGUAUCAUCAAUACAGUUAUGCUGAGGCAAGUCUUCAGCAUACAGAGCCAUGACUCCAGGUUAUCAGUGCCCAGUGUUGGCACUAAGUAGCCAUUUCUUCUCGAAGGUGAUAGUGUAUCCAGUUCAUUGCUGUCUGCUCAUAGCAGACUAGAUAUUCCAUGAUGGCAGUAGCUAGAUCAUCCUGGGUACACAGGGCCCAUUUGUAACCUCCAUCCAUGUCAUCAUGGCUACUCUUCCUGUGCUGGUACUGAGAUAGACAAUAAUAAUGUUGCCGUCAUUCUGUCUAUCUCCUGCGUGUUGCCUUUUCUAUGAUGGACGUCCAUGGUAGGAAUUAGCCUGAGAUAACAGCCACCACACUUCCAACAUGUUCCUCUAUCUGUGUACACUUGCCUUCCCUCAGGUUUCCUUGGGCCCUACCUUCCAGUCUCCUGGAUGACCAGCCAAGUCAUUGGCUAUCCCAGUAAAUCCGAAUGCUGCAUUUUAUUACCCACAAGCCACUUCUCUUUACACUAAGUAGAUGACUGAGGGCGUUAACCUGCUCUGCCCAUGGAAGACUUUAACCUAAGCACUGGAGGGGCAGAGGUAGCUGGGUCUCUGUGAGUUUGUGUGUACAGCCUGGACUACAGGUGAGUUCCAGGAUAGCCAGAGCUACAUACACAGUGAUAUCCUGGUCUCAAAAAUCCAAAACAAAAAUAAAAACAAACAUACAAAUCCCCACAAAGCCCAUGAGCCUAUGAAAUGUCAGAUACUGGCCCUGGUAGCAACAAGCCAGACCCAAUAGCAAAGUGACUAUGAUCCACUGGAGACACAAGGCUGGGGGAGCAGUUACCGUGUCUGACCCGCUGCCCUCAACGCUGCCCUGACUGAAUGUACAGAUGACAGGCACAUGCCACAGAAGGACACAUUGAGUACUAAAGCCAGUUUUCAAGUCAGCCAACCCGAGUCAAGCACGCAAGCAUUUCUGGGUCAUAACUACUUGAAGAAGACUUGUGAAAGGCCAAAGCACAUCUGGCACUCUGCCACUUGUCUGGCCUCAUGAAGUUCCUCAUAGACUGACUCUGUCCAGAUGAGUGAAGCCCCAAGAGGCAUCACACAGGCUACCGCUCUCCAGGCUGCAAAGCAUGCAAGAGCUUCCCAGCUAACGCAGACCCUCUCAGAAUCCUGCCAGAGGGGCCGCCUUGGCCUCCAUCUAUUGAAGCGCCUUCACCAGUAGCCCCAUGACAGGAGGAGGCUCCACUGCUCCUCAUAAGCAUCUGCUCUUCCUGCAACAGCUCCUUUCCUGGCUACCCUGUUCCUGAACUUCCUGCUUUCUUCCUAGCUGCUUCAAUUUCUUUUUAUCCUUUUUGUCAGCCUAAUCACAGACUUUUUCUGUCUGUCCUGACUUGUUUACAGCUUGACCUUGCAGGACAUCUGUGUGUCUUUUUAUUUAUUUAUUUAUUUAUUUAUUUAUUUAUUUAUUUGGUUUUCCGAGACAGGGUUUCUUUGUGUAGCCCUCUGUAGACCAGGCUGGCCUUGAACUCAGAAAUCCGCCUGUCUCUGCCUCCCAAGUGCUGGGAUUAAAGGUGUGCGCCAUCACUGCCUGGCCAAGGCAUGAGCUCUUGAAAGGACAGAACUAUGGGAACUUCACUCACUUGUGCCCUUUUGGACACUAAUACAGCAUACUGCCCUGUGUGUGUGCAAGAAGCUGCCUGAGCUACUUCCAGAAGGUAAAGCAGUGGUGGGGUGGUGUCCCUGCUAGACCCUGUGCAGCGCUGGGGCAUGGCACCUCUGCACAGUGUAGUGUGUGGAGGAAUCUAGACAAGGCCAUCAGGUGGGAUUGCAAAGCCCAGGGGAGGGGAGGAAGACUAGAGUCCCCAAACAACUGUGGGACAUCAGGGGAUUGCAUUUGCUUAAGAACUGAGAGCUAUAAGGAGUGAUAGUGACAGAUGAGGUGUGGCCACCCAUGCUGGUAAUCCAGACACAGGACAGCCGUAAGUCAUAGGCCAUGGAGUGGCCUGGGCUCCUGAAAGCUUACCCCUGGGCUAUGAGUAGAGAACCUGUUUGAAAC